rnacentral:rRNA from 1 species
CCCUUAGAUGUUCUGGGCUGCACGCGUGCUACACGGAUAUUGCCAAUAUGUCAUUCUUAUCCGAAAUGGAUUGGGUAAUCAAGUAAUGAAAUUUCAUGCUUGGAAUCGGUAAUUGCAAUUUUAUCGUGAACGAGGAAUUCCUAGUAAGCACUAGUCAUCAGCUAAUGUUGAUUAUGUCCCUGCCCUUUGUACACACCGCCCGUCGCUACUACUGAUUGGGUGUUCAAGUGAGAUGCUUAGACCCUUGUUGCAUGGUUCAUUAUUGUGCUCCGAAAGGAAAAAGUUUCAAGCUUGAGUGUCUAGAGGAAGUAAAAGUCGUAACA